rnacentral:rRNA from 1 species
AUCCUGGCUCAGGAUGAACGCUGGCGGCGUGCCUAACACAUGCAAGUCGAACGAAGCACUUUCAACGGAGAUUCGUCGAAGUUGGAUUUGACUUAGUGGCGGACGGGUGAGUAAUGUAUGAGCAACCUGCCUUUCAGAGGGGGACAACAGUUGGAAACGACUGCUAAUACCGCAUAAUGUAUUCGGGCGGCAUCGCCUGGAUACCAAAGGAGCAAUCCGCUGAAAGAUGGGCUCAUAUCUGAUUAGCUAGUUGUGGGGUAACGGCCUACCAAGGCUGCGAUCAGUAGCCGGACUGAGAGGUUGAACGGCCACAUUGGGACUGAGAUACGGCCCAGACUCCUACGGGAGGCAGCAGUGGGGAAUAUUGGGCAAUGGGCGAAAGCCUGACCCAGCAACGCCGCGUGAAGGAAGAAGGUCUUCGGAUUGUAAACUUCUUUAUGAGGGACGAAGGACGUGACGGUACCUCAUGAAUAAGCCACGGCUAACUACGUGCC